rnacentral:rRNA from 1 species
UACGUAGGGGGCAAGCGUUAUCCGGAAUUACUGGGUGUAAAGGGAGCGCAGGUGGUUUAUUAAGUCUGGUGUAAAAGGCAGUGGCUCAACCAUUGUAUGCAUUGGAAACUGGUAGACUUGAGUGCAGGAGAGGAGAGUGGAAUUCCAUGUGUAGCGGUGAAAUGCGUAGAUAUAUGGAGGAACACCGGUGGCGAAAGCGGCUCUCUGGCCUGUAACUGACACUGAGGCUCGAAAGCGUGGGGAGCAAACAGG